rnacentral:misc_RNA from 1 species
GAUGAAGAACGCAGCGAAAUGCGAUACUUGGUGUGAAUUGCAGAAUCCCGUGAACCAUCGAGUCUUUGAACGCAAGUUGCGCCCGAAGCCACUAGGCCGAUGGCACGCCUGCCUGGGCGUCACACGUCGUUGCCCCCCACCAUCUACUCCUUCGGGAUUGCGGGGGGCGGAUGAUGGCCUCCCGUGCGCCUAGCCGCGCGGUUGGCAUAAAUACCAAGUCCUCGGCGACGCACGCCACGACAAUCGGUGGUUGCGAAACCUCGGUUGCCCGUCGUGUGCGUUCGUCGCGCAUCGAGGGCUCGAAAAAAUGCUCGGCUCCGGCUCGGCUUUCAACGCGACCCCAGGUCAGGCGGGGUUACCCGCUGAAUUUAAGCAUAUCAAUAAGCGGAGGA